UGAAUUAAAAUAGUAAGUCGAUUUUGCCCAUGGACUAAAAAUUUAAAAGGCUGGGGUGUGUUAUAAAAACAAUGGUAGCGAAACAAAUACUUAUUAUUCCGAUUAAACUAGGGAUAGAUACCCUAUUAUAAUAAUUUAAAUUUAAUUAAAUUGUAAUAAAGAUAUUAAAUGAUAAAUCAUUAAAUUUAAAAGAUUUGGCGGUAUUUUAUAUAAUUAGAGGAACCUNGUGUAUUAAUUNGAUAAUCCACAAUAAGAAUAACUUAAUUUAAAAUUUAUGUAUUGCUGUUUAAAGAUUAUUAUUAAUUAAUUUUUUGUAUAUUUAAAUUUAAAUUAAUUCAAGUCAAAAUAUAGUAUAAUUAAGAUAAAUAUGGGUUACUAUUUUUUUAAAACUGGAUAAUUAAAUUUAAUUUUUAUUUUGAAAGAGGAUUUAAUAGUAAAUUUAAUUAAUUAAUUAAUUUGAAAAAUAAAUAAAAUAAGUACAAAUUGCCCGUCACUUUCAAUAAAAUGAAAU
rnacentral:rRNA from 1 species